UUUGUCUAAAAGGUUCUGUGGUUAGUGACUGAAGGGUUGAGGGAGAGUAUCUUUGGUUAAAAAAAAAGCAUUAUUACAGCAGAAGAUACUGGAUUUGGAUGUGUGAGCUAGGCAUGGCUUCCUUGGAAAACGCCAGCAAGAGCCUGGUGAUAGUAAUGACUGUAGAAGGCCAGUCAAGAGGAAUUCAGAUGCUCAAGUAACUCUGGCCUUUCUGGAACACAUUAGUUUCACAACAGAUGAUGCUGGUGGUCCAUGCAGGCUGGCAAACUUCAACUAAGGUUGUAGUUGUAGGAUUCACACAGUUUUCAAUUAA